UGGUCGCUCGCGCGGUUCCGCGCGCCCCUCGGACGGGCGCCGUCGGCCGGGUUACGCGGGUGCGGCCCCUCCGCGCGCACCC
rnacentral:tRNA from 1 species